GAAGCUGACCAGACAGUCGCCGCUUCGUCGUCGUCCUCUUCGGGGGAGACGGGCGGAGGGGAGGAAAGUCCGGGCUCCAUAGGGCAGGGUGCCAGGUAACGCCUGGGGGGGAAACCCACGACCAGUGCAACAGAGAGCAAACCGCCGAUGGCCCACGUAAGUGGGAUCAGGUAAGGGUGAAAGGGUGCGGUAAGAGCGCACCGCGCGGCUGGUAACAGUCCGUGGCACGGUAAACUCCACCCGGAGCAAGGCCAAAUAGGGGUUCACAAGGUACGGCCCGUACUGA
rnacentral:RNase_P_RNA from 1 species